GAGUGCCCAGCAAUGGGAGCGGCGGACGGGUGAAUAACGCGUGGGAAUAUGCCCUUUGGUUCGGAACAACUCAGGGAAACUUGAGCUAAUACCGGAUGAGCCAGUAAUGGGAAAGAUUUAUCGCCAAAGGAUUAGCCCGCGUCCGAUUAGCUAGUUGGUGGGGUAAUGGCCUACCAAGGCGACGAUCGGUAGCUGGUCUGAGAGGACGACCAGCCACACUGGGACUGAGACACGGCCCAGACUCCUACGGGAGGCAGCAGUGGGGAAUCUUGGACAAUGGGGGAAACCCUGAUCCAGCCAUGCCGCGUGAGUGAUGAAGGCCUUAGGGUUGUAAAACUCUUUCGGCGGGGACGAUAAUGACGGUACCCGCAGAAGAAGCUCCGGCUAACUUCGUG
rnacentral:rRNA from 1 species